rnacentral:rRNA from 1 species
CACGUAGGGGGCAAGCGUUGUCCGGAUUUAUUGGGCGUAAAGAGCUCGUAGGCGGUUUGUCGCGUCUGCUGUGAAAACCUAAGGCUCAACCUUGGGCUUGCAGUGGGUACGGGCAGACUAGAGUGCGGUAGGGGGUGACUGGAAUUCCUGGUGUAGCGGUGGAAUGCGCAGAUAUCAGGAGGAACACCGAUGGCGAAGGCAGGUCACUGGGCCGCAACUGACGCUGGAGGAGCGGAAAAGCAUGGGGAGCGAACAGG